GCUGCGUUUUCCUUUUGUUUGUGCAAUGAUAAGGAUAGUUUCAACUUUGCCUGGUCUCAUUAUUUUACACAGACAAGAAAUUAAAACAGACUCUCUCCUUAUUUCCUGAACGAAUAUGUAGUUAUUUGCGAAUCCGUUUAUCUGAUACUUGUAGGAAAAGUGGCAGUUUUUACCUGAAAAUACUACACCUGCAGUUGGUUGAAGAAUGCAAAUAUUAACUGAGUUAUUUGAAAACCUUUAAGUUCUCCGGUGGGAGAUCAGUAAGUCCAUGGCAUCACAAUGCUAAAAUUCAGGGUUCGAUUCCUCUCGGUGGACAAAGCAGAUAACUCAAAGUGGCUUUGCUCUAAAAUAACCACACCAAAACCUGAAAAAGGAGAAUUUUUUAUGUUGGAUGACAUUUUAGUAUACGUGUUUGUUCAUAUGAUUGUUAUUAUAGCAAAAUCAAAAAAAUUCGAUUCUGUUUUAAAAAUGGAAAACAUUGAUUCAUAACUGUGACGUCAUGUGCACCACGUGGUUAAUUUGUAAUUUAUCGAACGUGAAUGUGGUACACGGAAGUAAAUUCAUUAGUUGCGAAAAAAUAGAUGCUUCUUUGACAAGCAAUUUACCAACAUGAAAAUCAUGUUUUCUUGUUUGCGUGAUAUUUGGAGAGGCAGGAUAUCCCAAUUGCCUUUUGGGUGAUAUCCACACUUAUCUUUGUGGAAUUGUAUCCUUUACAUUUUUUUGCAUCUGGUACUUCUUGGAAGUGUCAUGUAUCUAAGAAAUUGUUAGCAACAUGUAAACAGUCAUGUAGGAUGUUAUAUACAGCAUACGUCUUUUUAUGUGUUUGAAGUCACUCGGGUGGAAAGAAUACCUUCUCUGUCACUUGAAAGUUAUUCAUAGUAUAUAGCAUUGACUUCUAUGAUUUUUCUUUUACAAUAUGGAGUGGUUGGAGCCAUUAGCAAAAGCUGUAAAAAUAUAAUUUUGCAAUUUGAAUAAAAUCAGAUUUUACUAUUCAGUUUUUUUGCUCUCGUUGUUCUUUCCGUUCUAAAAUUAUAUGGCUAAGUUGAAAAACACAUGGAGCAAUAAUAAAAAUUGUUCAAAGUUUUGGAUUUUGUGAUUUGUAUAUUUGAAAGUACAAGUAAUGUAGAAACAGUUAUAAAAUUUAACUCUAAUCCAGUUUGUUAUAAGAUGUUUUUGUUUGUUAGAUAGUGUUUUGAUAAAAUGAGUAGAGAGAUCAAAUAUAAAUCAAAUUUUGUCAUUAUGUGGUACUGGUGCUCUGAGUGUUACAAAAUGUAUUCAACAAGAAACAUGAUGUAAUACAUUAUUUAUCCUAUUAUGAAAUUAAUAAUGAUAUCAGAGUAAAGGUAGCAACAUAAGGCUAAACAAUAAUUAAUAAAAAGGAUCAUUGAUAUUUUUUCUUGUAUGGAUUCAAAGUCUCUGUCAAUAGCUUAUUUAGUAGGUGAAGUGUGUGUGUAUAAGCAUAUAUCAAACUAGUUUCUCUUGUUUCUGUGCAACUUUUUACUGUGGUGGAUGUUUGUAUGAUUAUAUCUUAGAUUUUCACUCAUUUUGAGCCAAGCAUGGCCUAGUGAUAAGCAAACUGGACUGUGAAUCUGAGGUUCCAUGGUUCCUGUCCCAUUACUGCCCCCCCCCCCACCACCAAAAAAGUGGGCUAGCUACUUUCCCCAUAGUCAAAUAAAAGUAGUCGAAAAUUUGUGAGAAAAUGUCCAGUGCUCAGCCUUGAACACAUGUAUGUUAUUAACUUUUUAGGAACAACCUUCUUUUUGAUAUUUUCUGAAUAGGAUUUAUCUGGUACAAACAUUAAAUUACCAGAAUUAGCCUUCAAGUUAGCAGAUGUCCGAAAGUUUUAAAAAUUGUGGUGGUGCUUGAUAACAAGUUAUUCUUAUUUUAAUUGUUUAUUAUUUUAUAAUUAAGUUCACUGGGAAAUCAUGUAUCAAUGCUUAUUUUUAUUAUAAACAGCUGAAUGUUUACACAAAAGUGUUAUUUUUUAAUUUAUGGUUUUGACUGGAGAGACUAAAUAUAGUAACUUAUGGUGUCUAUUUAGAUUGUAAUAUUAUUUAGUCACGAGUAUGUAUACAAACUUCGAUUGCAUAAUUAUUUUCUAUUUAAAGUUACAAAAACAUUGUAUAUACUCAGUGUGAACAAACUGGGUUAUAAGGUAAAACAGCUUCAAUGAGAGGCUAAUUUAGUUAUAGGAAGUUACCUGUGCUCUUUGUCUCUUAUUUACUUAGUUUUCUGACUGAAUAUAAAAAAUGUGCCAUUCAAUGUUUUGAAUAGUUAUUUCAUAAAGGUUAAUAUUUCUUUCCACAGUAGUUCAAAAAAAGAAACAGGAAAGACCAGGACUUCAUUCAACUCAGUGUCCUGUUUGUUGUCAAUUUUUCAGCAAAAAAAGCAACAUGCAUCGACACUUGAAUGUACAUUUUCCUGAUGCAAGAAAAUAUGAGUGUAGUUCAUGUGGAAAAGGUUUUACAAGAAACGACUCAUUAAAGAAUCACAUUCUUAUUUGUAAGAACUUUUCCCGGUGCAGAGGAAAUGGUUUACCAAGAUGAAUUAUGAACAUGUUACAAUUAUAAUUUGACUACAAUACUAUCUUAAUAAUCUUGGAAUCUUUAAAUUGUGCAUCUUGAGAUACUACAUUUCACUGCAAAAAAAAAAGUGGUCUCUUCAACAGUUGAUUUUUCUGUUUCAUGAUGACUUUUAACUGUUCACUGGCUUUUUUACAUAAGAAAGUUAUAUUUUUUUUUAACAAAACAUAUAAAUCAUUAACAUUUGUAAUGAGUAUUUAUAGAUAAUGUCAUAAAAUAGUUAUAUCUCAAUUUGUGAUCAAUGUGGGCACACACACAACCUGACAAGUUCAGAAAUAUAAAUAUCUUGUUUAAGAAUAGAUCAAGCAGAUAAAUCUGUCAUUGGCUCUUGUAUGAUUCUGUCAAGAUGUUAUUCUAGUUUUAAAUCCACUGGCAAAAGCUUACUGAAGUGGUGAACAGUUAAGAAAAUUUUAAUGCUUCUUAUUUUCCAUCAUUUAACAUUUACCUAUGUAAUGGUCAGUUACCUCAAAAGAAUGCAAAAACUUCAUGAGAAUAUUUCAGUUUUUGACUAGCAUAUAUUUCUAAUUUGAUCCAGUAGCUCAGCAGCUUUUUAUGCUAAAACUGUUUUGAUACCCCUUGUUGGUAAUAGCUUUGACUGAACAAAUAAACAAAAAUUUCUGCAAUAUUAUUGUUUAUGUUUUAUAGUAAUACUAAAUCAAUUGUUUGAAAUUCCAAAACAUAAAAAUGUAAGAAACUCAAUAGGUGUUAAAAAACAAUUUACAGCACAAUCCGAGUUAAUGUUUAAUGUUAUAUCUUGUUGAAUGGUGAUAAAAAUACAUGCUUGUCAGUAUUUUAUACAUAUUUAUUUUUUCAAACACCUUAAUACAAGCUAUCUUGUGAAUAUCAGUAGUUGGAUUAAUAACAUCAUUUUGGUGAUUUAGUGUAUUUUGACAGGUUAAAACACAUGAAGAAUAGCUUGAAUAUUCUGACUAACAAUUCCAAAUAUUGGAGAAUUUGUUUUUAUAAGUCAUCACAUGACAUGGAUAAAAAAUAAAUUAUUAUAUCUUAAAAGCUACAUGUUCCAGGAGAGUACUAAAUUCCUCCUUAGGCACAUUCAAAAUCACCCAUGUCAUUUAGGAAAGUUUAGAGCAAAUCAUUAGACCUAAUAAUGAUAUAGAAGAAAGUUUUAAAAGAGUUCUUCAGUAAAACUACCAGAUUUAGUAUCAUUAUCAGGCAUUUGUUAUUUUUCAUUUCAUAUAUUUGUUAUAAUUUACAGAUAAUGUCAAACUUGGAUGUUUGUUCUUCUUAUUGUUUCAAGUUAAUCUGGAAGUUUCUUGUUAAAUCAGGAAUAUUCACUGGACAGUUUUAAUAUUUAUCUCAAAUAGUUAUUAAUUGUAACCUUAUUUUUAUGGAACUUUGUAACUUAUGUAUCUGAUGGAUUAGAAAUGGAAAUAAAUAAAUACAAGUUUUAUUUGUA